GACGAACGCUGGCGGCGCGCUUAACACAUGCAAGUCGAGCGAGAACCAGGACUUCGGUCCCGGGGACAGCGGCGAACGGGUGGGUAACACGUGGAUAACCUGCCCUCGGCACCGGGAUAGCCCGGGGAAACCCGGAUUAAUACCGGAUGGCCCUUCCGGCUCACGAGCCGGUCGGAAAAGGUAGCUUCGGCCUCCGGCCGAGGAUGGGUCCGCGGCCGAUUAGCUUGUUGGUGGGGUAACGGCCUACCAAGGCUCCGAUCCGUAGCUGGUCGGAGAGGACGAUCAGCCACACUGGGGCUGAGACACGGCCCAGACUCCUGCGGGAGGCAGCAGUGGGGAAGCUUGCGCAAUGGGCGAAAGCCUGACGCAGCGACGCCGCGUGAGGGAGGAAGGCCUUCGGGUUGUAAACCUCUUUCAGGAGGGACGAAGCUACUCGGGUGAAUAGCCCAGAGGGUGACGGUACCUCCAGAAGAAGCCCCGGCUAACUACGUGCCAGCAGCCGCAGUAA
rnacentral:rRNA from 1 species